CGGGCCCCGGACUGUGGGUCUGGUGCCCUCUGAUGGAUUCGAUGCUCAGCGGUGUUCGGUUCAUGAACUUGUAGUUACCCGCCCAUUCCUGCUCCCCGAGGCUUUCAUUUUCCCCGCUGGUUGAGGCAGGGCUCGAACAGACUCCAGGCGGCACGAAGGUCCGGGCGCUCGGCCUUCCCCUCACCACCUAUGAACUCGCCCGGAGGCAGUCGUGCCGCCCCGGCCCGGCCCUCUGCAGCUCCUGUGUGAGGAGAACGGCCGAGGACCGGGCCCUCUCCCUGCUCAGCUUGAGGUCCGAAAGGACUGAGGACACGGGAGGCGAUGGGAAGCAGAGAAAUAAAUGGGAGAUGUUUCUUGUCACAACCAUGAAGUAUUAGAGAAAAAAAUUGAGGCCAUGGAAUCCUACCACUUCUGGUAACAAUAGAUGGUUCUUAUUUCAGGCAAAUGGGAUAUACGAAAACCUAGCUACCAUAACAAAGUAGUAUGACCUGGAUGGCUCCAACAACACAAACUCUUACAGUCUGGAGGCUGAAGUCCAAAAUCACAGUGUUGGCAGGAUUGUGCUCCCUCUGAAGGCUGGGGGUUGGAUGAGGGAUUCUUUCUUGCCUGGUUCCGCUCCUGGUAAUUGCCAACCUUUCUUAUCCUGAAGCUACGUUACUGCAGUCUCUUCUCUAGUGUCUUAACAGCAUAUUAAAAAGCAGAGACAUCACUUUGGCAACAAAGGUCCAUCUAG